GUGGCACCAACAAAUUCAACUGCUUGGAAUGGGAUAUGCUUUCAGCGAUAAUCGUCAAAAUUUAUGAAUGACGCCUAUCGGUUCGAUACCUUCGACUCACGUUGUGUGUGUAAUUUGUUUACUGCUGGUUUGAGAAUAUCCAUAUUUGCC